rnacentral:rRNA from 1 species
GACAGAGGGUGCAAACGUUGUUCGGAAUUACUGGGCGUAAAGCGUGUGUAGGCGGCCUUCUAAGUCGGGUGUGAAAUCCCUGGGCUCAACCCAGGAAGUGCACUCGAAACUGGAGGGCUAGAGUAUCGGAGAGGUUGGUGGAAUUCUCGGUGUAGAGGUGAAAUUCGUAGAUAUCGAGAGGAACACCGGUGGCGAAGGCGGCCAACUGGACGAAUACUGACGCUGAGACACGAAAGCGUGGGGAGCAAACAGG